GUCACGGGCAAAAUCUGAAGUCUUGGUGGAGAAUUAAUUGAAGGAAAAAUGAGUAGAAAGUGACUCAAACCUAACAAAUUCCAUUAGUGUUUAAAUAUUCAAACCUAACAAAUUCCAUUAGUGUUUAAAUAUUCAAACCUAAUAAAUUCCAUUAAUGUUUAAAUGCUCAAACCUAACAUAUCAUCAUUUGUUUAAAUCCAAAUAGUUUUGCUUGGUAGCCUAUAAAUAGAGGCUACAACAAAGAAGAAAGGACAUUCCUUCAUCCAUUCCAUCUUCUUUGUCUCUCCAUUUCCUUUCCAUUUUCCUUUCCAUCCUCUAGUUUCAAGUUUAGUCAUCUCCACGAGUUCAAGCAAGGCCAAAGAAGAAGAAGAGAAGCCGUGAGCACUUCCAUCCAUAGCCAUCCUUGAAGCUUGCUUUCGAGUUUCAAGAAUCCACAACGUGAAUCAUCCAUCUCAUCUUCAUCCACGGUGUGUACCCUCAAUCCCCGGAAUAGAACGAUCCCUAUUUGCUUAUACUACUAACGAUCUUUUCAGGGUUAAAUUAUGCGCUUGCUUUGAGCGUAUCAAUUUUUGGCGCCGUUGCCGGGGAUUGAAAAAUCACUUGUUUUUGUUUAUAAUUGUUGUAUAUAAACUGUUUGAUACUUAGUUUAAAUUAACUAGGUUGUUUUUUUUUUAUUGUUGAAUACGAAUUUAAUUGUAGGUUGUAAAUUAAAGAAGGAAUAGGUGAAGUCGUGUUUAUUAAUAUUGGCCUAAACCCCUUAUUGGUACCUAGUUCAGGUCCCUUAAGGUUGAGGGCGGCCUUUAUUAACAUUCAUUGAACUGUCUAACACACUUAGGACCUUUUACAUCCUAGUAAGAAUAUCCUAUGUGAGAUGGUGUCUAGGAAGGGGACAACGUUCAUGACGGGUUUUUGAAUCCAGAAGUGCUUAUAAAUGGGCUUAGCUCAUGCCAAAAUGGAUUUUUCCUCUCGUGUUCACCCUCCCCUACCUGGCCAUUUCAGUAAGGUUGCCCAACGGAUGUAGGAGGGACUUUGUGUCUAGACGACUAUACUUGGGCCGCACGUCCACUUGAUUUACCGCUUGGAAUUA